CAGAAGAGGAAAGGUCCAGUUCAGACUGGAUUUUAAGCAUGUACAUUCUUUCUCUCUUCACCACAUUGUUUUGCCUCUUUCCAAGAGUGCCACACCAUUCCAGGAGUAAGAACUUCUUUUUUGUUUCUGCAUCCUCAUUUCCUGCUGCUUCCAUCCUCUAAGGCUCCUUUAGGAUUUUUAGAAUUUUUCCAUUCAGGCUGGGAGAAUGCACUGAAUGAACAGAUGAUGGAGGAACUGAUGUGCAAGAAAAAUAGAGAAGGAAGCAAGAGAGAAAGAGAUGUGAAGAUAUGGAAAGAAGGAAGAAAACAUGUCCCUCUGUAUGCAGAGGCUCUAAGCAAAGAGGCAUCUCUGCCACUUUUAGAACAGGACAGAGACAUCCAAUGAGGAAGGUGAAGCACAUGGGUGAUUUUCAUCAGCAAUUAAGUCUCCCAGAGCUCCAGAUCAAGCAGCUGAACACCCAGGAUGGUGCUACCUGCACACGCAGUGGGUACAAGCUGAAGCUGGGUCUCUUCACACAGAUCUUACUCUGCAGCCAGAUCUGUGGCUCUGCAGAGCCUUCCAGGCACUGGAAUUCCACAUCCCUAUGUCCCCAGGGUUCAUCUCUACCCAGCUGAAGAUCAGAGCUUUAAUCUGCAAUUCUCUCAGGGCAUUUGUGAGCCUUUCCCUUUAGUCUUAUUUCCUGUCUGUAGAUUGACAUCAUGUGAAUGACACCAAUAACAAAUUUUUCUUCCUAGAGAACUUCAAGCAUGACUCUGGGGUCACCUUUUCCAUCCUUCUACUGUGUGUUUUUAUCCACAGAAUCCCAGAGGACUUUAUAAAUCAUGAGACAAAAGGGUUUUAUUUCUGGAGCCUUGUCCACAAAGCAGUAAACCUUGGAGUCUUUUUCCUUGUACUUGUCCAAAAAGACAUUUUUGAUCUGGUUUUAGUUAUUCUUGAGUCUAGGAUAAGGUCUUGGAUACUCCUAACAAAUUCCUCUCUUUCCUUGAUUUUAGUGUCCUUUGAAUACUUGUAGAGGUUUGCCAACCAAAUUCUGCAUAUUUAGAUUGUUUAAUUUUCUUAAUAUAGAUUGGAAAAAAAAACCUCAUCCAAAAGGCAGAAAUUUAUUCAGAAAAUUAAGUGCCUAUAAAAAUGUGCAGAGGGGAGAAAUCUGUCUGUGUCUGUGCCCUCAUAGACAAAGGCUCCAAAAUCAGCUGAUGUCAUGGUAAGGAGCAGAAAAUGUAUCUGGAAGCAAGUCUACAGGAAGAGGGAAUACUUUAUGGCUCAAUAGCAGAAGAGGCUUCAGUAAGACUUGAACACUAUAAAAGUAAGAAUGAUCAUAGCACAGCCACUUGUUCUAUUUUGUGUCUCCAGCAAUGAUGAAGAGCCUUGGGAAGAACCAGACCAAGCAGGCACUGUCAAUUCCCUAAAAGUGCUGCUCCAGAGCCAUUUGGCCCAGGUCACAGCUCCUGCUCCUACUCCUGCCAGGGAAAGGAUGCUAGCAAGUUCCAGCACGCUGAUACCUGCAUCACAAAUGUUAUGAAAGUUUUAAAACAAGACAAUUCCAGAUGAAGCAACACUGCCCUGCCUUGCAGAAUCAUUACCCAGAGGAAAAGCACACCACACCUAUUGUACAGUUUCUGUCUUCAGAAGCCUCUGCCAGGACUUCAGGGUGUUAUUUUCUCUCACUGUCUAUAGAACUGAGGAAUAUAAAAAAUAAGAAACUAGUUCUAUGUUAUGAAAAUGGAAACUCAAAACAAAAUGUAAAACAGCAUAAUGUAUUUAAGAUAGAAGAAAAAAAUCAAGCUUGUCAUAUGAAAUAGAAUUGUUCUAAAGCACUCACAUUUCCCUUUUUUUUU